AGCAUACAAGGCAUACGGCUCAGUAACGCGUAGUCAACCUAACCUACGGACGGGAAUAACCUCGGGAAACUGAGAAUAAUGCCCGAUAGAACAUUAUGCCUGGAAUGGUUUAUGUUCCAAAUGAUUUAUCGCCGUAGGAUGGGACUGCGGCCUAUCAGUUUGUUGGUGAGGUAAUGGCCCACCAAGACUAUUACAGGUACGGGCUCUGAGAGGAGUAGCCCGGAGAUGGGUACUGAGACACGGACCCAGGCCCUAUGGGGCGCAGCAGGCGAGAAAACUUUGCAAUGUGCGAAAGCACGACAAGGUUAAUCCGAGUGGUUUCUGCUAAAGAAACCUUUUGUCAGUCCUAGAAACACUGAUGAAUAAGGGGUGGGCAAGUUCUGGUGUCAGCCGCCGCGGUAAAACCAACACCUCAAGUGGUCAGGAUGAUUAUUGGGCCUAAAGCAUCCGUAGCCGGCUCUGUAAGUUUUCGGUUAAAUCUGUACGCUCAACGUACAGGCUGCCGGGAAUACUGCAGAGCUAGGGAGUGGGAGAGGUAGACGGUACUCGGUAGGUAGGGGUAAAAUCCUUUGAUCUAUUGAUGACCACCUGUGGCGAAGGCGGUCUACCAGAACACGUCCGACGGUGAGGGAUGAAAGCUGGGGGAGCAAACCGGAUUAGAUACCCGGGUAGUCCCAGCUGUAAACUAUGCAAACUCAGUGAUGCAUUGGCUUGUGGCCAAUGCAGUGCUGCAGGGAAGCCGUUAAGUUUGCCGCCUGGGAAGUACGUACGCAAGUAUGAAACUUAAAGGAAUUGGCGGGGGAGCACCACAAGGGGUGAAGCCUGCGGUUCAAUUGGAGUCAACGCCGGA
rnacentral:rRNA from 1 species